AUCCAAUCACCUCCCACCAGGCCCCACCUCCGACACUGUGGAUUACAAUUUAACGUGAGAUCUGGACAGGGACAAGGAUCCAAACCAUUGCCUUGCUGAAUUCACUCCCAUGACCCCCACAUGCUUGGGUCAGGAUGCAUGAAGCUGAAAGCACAUGAAGUCCUCUCCAUGCUCUUCUGCCUUUGGUCCUAACUGUCCUCAGGGGAAGCGACUCUGAAGGCCAAGAGCUUCUUUGUGGAAGACCGAGGCAGGACCUGUCUUCAUUCAACUGAGGCCUGAAAUCAACUCGAGACCAGACCACCGCCAAACACCCUCC